GAUAAAGAUGGAAUCACAGAUCCACAUCAUCAUGUUCCAGUUGCUCUGGAUAUCUGGUACCUGUGGGGACAUUGUGAUGACUCAGUCUCCAUCCUCCCUCACUGUGUCUGCAGGAGAGAAGGUCACUAUGAGUUGCAAGUCCAGUCAGAGUCCUUUUUGGAGUGGAAACCAGAAGAACCUCUUGGCCUGGUACCAGCAGAAACCAGGGCAGUCUCCUAAACUGCCGAUCUACUGGGCAUCCACUAGAGUAUCUGGAGUCCCUGAUUGUUGCACAGGCAGUGGAUCUGGGAUAGAUUUCACUCUGACCAUCAGCAGUAUGCAGACUGAAGACCUGGCAAUUUAUUACUGUCAGCAGUAUUAUGAUACUCCUUCAACAGUGCUUCAGCCUCCUACACAAACCUCCUUAAAAUUUUCAACAGCUGUAUACACCACACACUCCACUAAGCAUGCAUAUUUCCCCCUUCUACAUGAGAGCUGGCAUGUCUGAAAAACAUAAGUAAAAGAUUAAAAUG